UCCGUAGGUGAACCUGCGGAAGGAUCAUUACAGAAAGUAAACGCGGGUCAAACCGCGAACUUUUAAACCUUUGACGAUUGACUCAUGUUGCCUCGGCGGGUUCGCCCGCCGGAGGAUACAUCAAAACUCCUGUUUUAACGGUGUUGUCUGAGCCACAAGCAACGAAUCAAAACUUUCAACAACGGAUCUCUUGGUUCUGGCAUCGAUGAAGAACGCAGCGAAAUGCGAUAAGUAGUGUGAAUUGCAGAAUUCAGUGAAUCAUCGAAUCUUUGAACGCACAUUGCGCCCCUUGGUAUCCCGAGGGGCAUGCCUGUUCGAGCGUCAUUUCACCCCUCAAGCCUGGCUUGGUGUUGGGCGACGUCCUCUUUGGGGACACGCCUCGAAACGUUCGGCGGCGUGGCACCGGCUUUAAGCGUAGCAGAAUCUUAUCUUUCGCUUUGAAAGUCGGGGCCACGUCUGCCGGAAGACCUACUCGCAAGGUUGACCUCGGAUCAGGCAGGGAUACCCGCUGAACUUAAGCAUAUCAAUAAGCGGAGGAAAAGAAACCAACCAAUC
rnacentral:rRNA from 1 species